CAGUCGCCACGGUAAUACAGAGGAUUUAAGCGUUAUCCGGAAUGAUUGGGCGUAAAGCGUCUGUAGGUGGCUUAUCAAGUCCGUCGUCAAAUCCCAGGGCUCAACCCUGGACAGGCGGUGGAAACUACCAAGCUGGAGUACGGUAGGGGCAGAGGGGGAUGGAAUUCCGCGUGUAGCAGUGAAAUGCGUAGAUAUGCGGAGGAACACCAACGGCGAAAGCACUCUGCUGGGCCGACACUGACACUGAGAGAUGAAAGCUAGGGGAGCAAAUGGGAUUAGAGACCCGAGUAGUCCCUGUCUC
rnacentral:rRNA from 1 species